rnacentral:pre_miRNA from 1 species
UAAGAAAUGACGUUUCGGGGUCCGUACGGGUCCCCUGUUCACAAUGCUUUGUGAACAAGGGAUCCGUACGGACCCCGAAACGUCAUUUUUUA